ensembl:misc_RNA Y_RNA Y RNA
GACUGAUCAGAGUGCAAUGAUGUUUACAAUUAAUUGAUCACAGCCAGUUACAGAUUUCUUUGUUCUUUCUUCACUCCCACUACUUGACUUGAAUAGAAGU